rnacentral:misc_RNA from 1 species
UUGAUUUUCUUCGCUUGAUUCAGACAACACACGGAUUUUUGCAUAAAAACGACGUCCAUAAAGGACGCCGAAGCACGGUUUCGCUUCCACAGGUUUGAAAGGGUAAAGGUCAAAAAGACCAUUCGAUAAUGAUCCCUCCGCAGGUUCACCUACGGAGA